GGAGUUAGCCGGUGCUUCUUCUGUGAGUGAUGUCCUUCCUGCCGGCUAUUAACCCGCAGGCCUUCUUCCUCACUGAAAGUGCUUUACAACCCGAAGGCCUUCUUCACACACGCGGCAUGGCUGGAUCAGGGUUGCCCCCAUUGUCCAAUAUUCCCCACUGCUGCCUCCCGUAGGAGUCUGGGCCGUGUCUCAGUCCCAGUGUGGCUGAUCAUCCUCUCAGACCAGCUACGGAUCGUCGCCUUGGUGAGCCGUUACCUCACCAACCAGCUAAUCCGACAUAGGCUCAUCCGAUAGCGCGAGGCCCGAAGGUCCCCCGCUUUCCCCCGUAGGGCGUAUGCGGUAUUAGCCUGGGUUUCCCCAGGUUAUCCCCCACUACCGGGCAGAUUCCUAUGCAUUACUCACCCGUCCGCCGCUCGCCACCAGGGAGCAAGCUACCCCGUGCUGCCGCUCGACUUGCAUGUGUUAGGCCUGCCGCCAGCGUUCAAUCUGAGCCAUGAUCAAACUCUGA
rnacentral:rRNA from 1 species